rnacentral:tRNA from 1 species
GCCCUCGUGGUGAAAUUGGCAGACACGCAUGGUUUAGGUCCAUGUGGGGCAACCCGUACAGGUUCAAGUCCUGUCGAGGGCA